UGAGGCAGGAGAAUUGCUUGAACCCAGGAGGUGGAGGCUGCAGUGAGCCGAGAUUGAGCCAUUGCACUCCAGCCUGGGUGACAGAGCAAGACUC
rnacentral:miRNA from 10 species